UAAUCUCACCUUUCCAAGCGGAAUGUCGGCUCCAAAGCGAGCAUCAUUCUCAUCGUCGUCGCCUGCCGCUCUCUCGUUCUUCCCCUCUUCCUCUUUCCCCAAUCUCCGUUCCUUCCACUCCCCACAAACGCACUCGUCUCCUCUCCCUCCUUCCGCAAUGGCGGCUUUGGACCGUAAGUUCGUCUCCCUCCUCCUACUCCUCCUGACCUCGUUGGUCGCCGCCGCUGAGGAGGCGGGGCUCGGUCUCGACGCCGGAGACCGGGACGCCCUCCUCCGCUUCCGAUCGCAGCUCAACGACCCGCGGCUGAGACUGGCGAGCUGGAACGGGUCCAAUUGCACCACCUGGGCCGGUAUCUCCUGCGAGAACCGGACCGGCCGGGUCUUCCGAAUCAACCUCGGCGAUUCGGGCCUCUCUGGCGCCGCGCUUGAGCUCCUCUGCAACCUCUCCCUCCUCGAAACCCUAGUCCUUUCCGGCAAUGACUUUUCCGGCCCCAUUCCGCGUUGCUUUGGUCGCCUCCAGGCUCUCAGAACCCUCGACCUCGGCCGGAACAAGCUCCAAGGAUCGCUUCCGCCAGAGAUGGCCGGGCUCUGGCAACUUGAGGAGCUCGUGCUGUCUGGGAACCCUGGUGUUGGGGGUUUGUUUCCGGAAUGGAUUGGCACCUUCUCUUACAGGUUGAAAAGACUCGAUCUUGGAUCGACUUCACUCCAGGGAGAGAUUCCGGAGGGUUUGUUCCAUCUCUCGUCGCUGAAAUUUCUUGAUCUUUCCGGCAACCGCUUGGUGGGCGAGUUGAAAGAUUUCGAGCAGCCUUUAGUUCAUCUCAACCUCUCCCAGAAUCAGCUUUCGGGGACCCUCCCGUGCUUCUCGGCAUCGACAGGCUCCCUCACGGCACUCAAUCUUGCGAGUAACGCCCUCGUCGGCGGAAUCCCCACUUGUAUUUCGUCGCUGAGAUCAUUGUUGGAGCUGAAUCUCUCUUCGAAUGGUCUACAAUACAGGAUAUCGCCCAGGCUCAUCUUCUCCGAUAAGCUCCAGGUUCUUGAUUUGAGCUCAAAUGAGCUAUCUGGUCCGAUUCCAGGCAGCCUAGUCGAGGAACCAGAGAGAGCUGAAUUGUUGCUUCUAAAUCUUUCGAGGAAUCAGCUCUCGGGCGAGAUUCCAGCAGAGAUGACGGAACUAAGGAGCUUGCAAGGACUUUUCUUGUCACAGAAUCAGCUUACUGGAGAGAUCCCAGUUGCAAUUGGGAACCUGACCUAUCUCCAGUCUCUUGAUCUUUCUUACAAUUUCCUCUCUGGUCCAAUUCCUGUCAGCCUCGCGGGUUGUUUUCAGCUUUGGCAGCUCAAGUUGGAUCAUAACAACCUUUCUGGUGCCCUCCACCCAGAGCUUGAUGCCCUUGACAGCCUCCGUAUCCUGGACUUAGCUGGGAACCGGAUUUCUGGUGAGAUUCCUCUUCCUUUGGCAGGUUGCAAAUCGCUCGAGGUCGUCGACCUCAGUUCUAAUGACCUUGGGGGCGAGCUUAGUGGAGCCAUUCUCAAGUGGCAGAAUCUCCGGUUCCUCUCGCUAGCUCGCAACCAUUUAUCGGGUGACCUCCCAAACUGGAUGUUCUCGUUUCAGUACCUACGGUCACUCAAUCUCUCUGGUAAUCACUUCUCAGGAUAUAUUCCAGACGGAGACUUCAUUGUCAGUGAUGAGUUCAAUGGCAAUUCUAAUGAGCCUUAUGAUGGCUUCAGCAUGGUCCUGGUUCCAGUCUCAGUGAACUUUGCUGGUAGUCGGCAACUGGAAUUCAAUUACAAGCUACACUCACAAGUGGGAAUUGAUUUGUCCAAUAAUGCUCUUCGAGGAGAGAUACCUGAGGGAUUGAUUGGGUUAAAGGGUUUGGAGUACCUGAAUCUUUCAUACAAUGACCUUGCUGGCCGCAUCCCCGGAAAUCUUGAGAAGAUGGGGAAGCUUAAAAGGCUAGAUCUUUCACACAAUUCACUCUCCGGAGAGGUCCCAGCAAGCAUCUCUGUGCUCAGGGAGCUGGAGGCACUAAACCUCUCCUACAAUUGCCUGUCAGGGCCUGUGCCAACAAGGGAGGGGCUCCAAAGGUUUCCAGGUGCAUUUGCUGGAAAUCCGGCACUCUGUAUGGAGUUUUCAGGGAAGGGAUGUGAUACAGAAGCAAACUUGCCUGCAGGGAAGGCGAUAGGUGCAAGUGGUGGCAGAGAUGAUGGUUGGAUGUCAGUGGGGGCAUUUUGGAUCAGUGCCGUAGCCAGUUUUUAUGCAUCAGUGGUCGCACUACUUUGCUCACCAAUGUCAAGGGAAUAUAUUUUUCAGGCAUUCAAGCCUGAGUUCUGAGUAGAGACUGGGAAGGAACCAAAACUGAUUGUAGAUGAAAGAUUCAGGUCAACCCAUGAUGCUAUUGUGAUGCACUUGGAGAAAGCACAUCGGAAAAGUUGGAACCAUAAUUUGGAUGGACUUAAAUGUGCACUGUAUGUAUGCUGCACCAUUUAUCUGUUAUCUUAUUGGUUUUGUUUCCUGUUUUAUGAUCAUUAUGACCUUCUCAUGCUCAUGCAAAUUUAACAUAACCUGCCACAGACUUUUGUAUGGUAAUGUCACAGCAAGUAUUGUUCUCAUGAUUCUGCUGUAGCUCCCUCAAAACAUUGGCAAUAAUUUUCUAUUUCUCCAUUAUAAUUUCAUUGAUAGGAAUGUGAUGGUUCCAAUCUUUGCAGAUAGCAACCCUUAUUUGAGCAAUCUGUUUUCGGUUUUGUUAUUGGUAUUUUCAUGUAAGAAGUGGAAACUCUAAUUGGUGGAGCAUUUACAUGGCAUAUUUCCAAAUGGAUAACCAAGCUUUUUUUACUGCCUUCACGCUUUGGAGGAUGUGGUUUAGUUGGUACUUGGUAAUCCUUGAAACAAAAUGGCAUUGGAAGGACAUGGAUGUUGGUACCCAUAUUCAGUGAUUUUGAACCAGAAGGAAUGAUAGCAACUAUUGAGCAGACUUUUUUUAGCAAUAAUUUCUCCAAACAUCAUGUCUAAUAUAACCAAUAUUACAUAAUGCAUGAGAUAAGACUGACAGAACAUUGUUAACUGUGACAACAUGAGGAGGAUAUCAUUGAGACUACUGACCUGCUACUGAAGACUUUCUUAUGAAAAUUAGCAGUGGAAGCAUGGUUAUCAAGGCCAUUUCCUAUUCUCUACAUUUUUGACUUGCUAUCAAGUGGAAAGCCAGCAUAUUUCUUGACUGCUUGAUGAUGAUGCUAGUCUUUUUCCUACUCCAUGCAGCUACCUUACUACCAUUUUCCACGUAUUUUACAACAAUUUAAUUAUGGUUCUAUGUAUGGGAUACAAAUGAUUAAUUCAACAGCUGUUCUAUUUCUUGACAUUAAAAACGUAUUUAUCACUUUCUCUCAAACACAUUUUUUGUUGGUUGCUUGGUUAAUGGUUAGACAUCAGCAUUAUACAUACUGAUUAUCAGUUUUUUCCCUCUGAUUCUAUAUUGUUCUUAUUUAUGGUUAAUUCAAUAUCACAAUGAAAGGUUUCAUUCAAAGUUCUUUUGCUACCGUUUUAAAGUUAGUUUUACAUAUUUUCUGAAUAAAGAUUGCCCAGAUGAGCAAAAAUCUGUGGAAUGUGGGGUAUAAUUUAUUUGCUGUUGGCUUGUAGAAUUGCACGAGUUAAGUGCAAGCUGUUGGGGAGAGGUGAUGAAAUAUUUCAUACUUCUGGACAGGAAUAAUAAUCUUGAAUGGUGAUAUAGAUGACUGUAAGCCUGGCAAGGAAUUUGAAAUGUUGUGCAAAUAUUUUUUCUCUUUUGAUAUCAAGAGAAGCUUUAAAGCACGAUUUGAAAUACUGAUCUGGCAAUUGUUUUGCUGAUGGUCCACAAGAAUUGUAUUUGGAAAAAAAUGGAAAGAUUCUAUUUUACAAUGGCCUUUGGAUGUUCUUCCCCGGAUGCUAAGUUCCGACAAACAUGCCACCUAGAGAGGAAGAGGACCUGAGGCUCAAGGUUGCGUCCGAAUCUGUUAAUAGUAAGGGAAGAUCUUAUGAGACCAUGAAAAAGGUGUCGAGGAACAUAUUCCAGUACGCAAAUUUCCUGGUCUUCUUGCACCAGUUUCUCUCAGUCAUGGCUGUCGACGAAUGAACUGAUGGCAGCGGCUUCUUGUUGACGCCGACUACUGCAAGAGAGAGUUAGAGAUGACUUAAAACUGUUCAUAACAACACACUGUGCUCAAGGUUUGGCGGCCGCUCUUUUUGGAGUCGGAGGCGGUGCGGUGAUCUUAAGUAGAAAGGCCAUCAUGCUUCACGGUGGUGCGCUGCCCUCGUCGAUGUCCUGCGAGAGGUGGUGGUCGACGGCGUUUUGGAUGCCGGAAGACAAUCCACUCCGUUCGGAUCGGAUCCAAUCAUCCGUUUCGGAUCGGAUCCACUAUUAGGCGGCCCUAAGAAACCCUCCUCAAUUCCCGGUCAGCGCGGCGGCAAAAUAUACUCGGUUAUGUUGAAGAUUUCUACGUAAGAAGCACGGCAUCGUCGCUCAUGGCUUCGAGCUCCGCGAUCUUCGGCGCAAAGCUGAAGGAUUCUGGCUUCACGUCAUGCUUCUCGCCUUCGAUGAGAGCGCGUCGUUGCUGGAAGCACGCCUUGAACAAAGUGCUUGCAGUUGCGGCGCCUGCCCGAUCUCCCUGCUCUCCAUCGAUCACCGGCUCAGUUUGGGAAUCCAUUCCUUCUGAUUUGACGUGGGUUCUUUUGAUGUGUUCUUUAGUGUUUAAGGUUUCUUAUUUUGUGUUUUUUUGCGCCUUUUGCAAUUUGCAGGUCAAGCAAGCAAUGACGAUGACGGAGAAGAUCCUUGCGCGGGCAUCAGAGAAGACGCAUCUGGAACCUGGAGAGAAUGUUUGGGUGACUGUUGAUGUCUUGAUUACUCAGAAGACGCAUCUGGAACCUGGAGAGAAUGUUUGGGUGACUGUUGAUGUCUUGAUGACUCAUGAUGUCUGUGGCCCUGGGGAUGUUUGGAAUCUUUAAGAAAGAAUUUGGUCAGAACGCAAAGGUUUUACUCGGCACAGACUCCCACACAUGUAAUGCUGGUGCUUUCGGGAAAUUUGCUACUGGAAUUGGCAACGCCGAUGCAGGUUUUGUCAUGGGAACUGGGAAGCUCCUUUUGAAGAUGGACGAGAGGAUGACUUUGUGCAACAUGGUCAUCGAAGCUGGGGGUAAGAAUGGGGUUGUUUCUGCUGAUGAAACUACAUUCAAGUGCCUUGAGGAUAAAACUUCCAAGAAUUUUGAACCUUUGUAGAGAGAUGAUAAUGCCAGCCACAUUGCUCUAGCAAGAGAGUGCAAGGGCAUCAAAAGUGACAGGGCCUACAUAGGUUCUUGCACUGGUGGAAAGAUGGAGGAUUUUUUAGCUGCAGCAAAGGUGUUCCUAGCUUCAGUAAGGGGCUUUGUAUUUUAAAUCAAUUUCUGCAAUUGGUUUUAGUUUGUCUUCAAUGGACACCUUCUGUGUGCUGAAAAAAGAUAAUUAGGCUGUCUCCCUGCCACACUAUGCCCAUCUUGGACUGUUUGAUGACUUAUGGAUUAUUUGGAUAUGCACUACUGAUUUUAUGAAUGCCUUCCAGCAGUUAAUUUAAAAAUUCAGUUAUAAUGACUUAUUAUGUAAAUAAUCAUCUGUGAUAUGCAACAAGAUGCUGUACAAGAGAUUUCAUGCCUUGCCUUGAAAAUUGCAAAUGGUCCUUUUCCUGAUAUCUCAAAAUGAGCUUGUUUCUUUUAUUCUAAAACUCCUGAAUAUAUGCAAACAUUUGUUUCCUUAUAAAAAUAAGUCUCAUUUAUCUUUUUUGUCAUCCGAUUUUCAGAGUAGAAUGUUUUGCCUAACAAAAUUUUGCAUUACUUAAUUUUUGAUCGGGUUAAAAUAGUCUUAAGCUUAUAUUUUUUCCGUCUUGAUGAUGCUUGUUGGCCUUUGUCAAACAAUUUAGAUAGAAAAGUGUUCUUCAGAAUUAAUGCCAUCACAAUAUUUGGAUCGACCCACCAGUUGAUGAGCCAGAACUUACAGCCUGUUCUAAAAUGCUGCUUGAGAUGGCUGUCGAAGCAAAUGGGCUAU